rnacentral:lncRNA from 1 species
CAGGUUCUCAGCCCUGGUUCCAAGAUGAUGGGAUUGGGAAAUGGGCGUCGGAGCAUGAAGUCUCCACCCCUUAUCCUGGCUGCCCUGGUGGCCUGUGUCAUCGUCCUCGGCUUCAACUACUGGAUUGCCAGCUCCAGAAGCGUGGAACUCCAGACACGCAUCGUAGAGCUGGAAGGCCGGGUCCGCAGGGCAGCUGCAGAGCGAGGUGCCGUAGAGCUGAAGAAGAACGAGUUUCAGGGCGAGCUGCAGAAGCAGCGAGAGCAACUUGACAGGAUCCAGUCCAGCCACAGCUUCCAGCUGGAGAACGUCAACAAGUUACACCAGGACGAGAAGGCGGUUUUAGUGAAUAAUAUCACCACAGGCGAGAAGCUCAUUAGAGACCUUCAAGACCAGUUGAAGGCACUGCAGAAGAGUUAUGGCAGGCUGCAGCAGGACAUCUUCCAGUUCCAGAAGAACCAGACCAGCCUGGAGAAGAAGUUCUCCUAUGACCUGAGCCAGUGUAUCAGCCAGAUGAAGGAGGUGAAGGAACAGUGUGAAGAGCGGAUAGAAGAGGUUGUCAGAAAGCGAAAUGAGGCAUUAGUUUCCAGAGAUGACCAACGACAGCAGGCCCUCAAGCCUCAGGCCAAGUUGCAGGAAACAGUUCCGCCAAAGGAGCAGACGCCACAAGAGGAAGGGGAUGUGCCCAGAAACAAGUCCCAAGUACCAGCCCCCAGUUCAGAGGUGUGGGGCUUGAAGCCACACGUGCAGAACGAGGAAACCAAUGAGAUUCAGGUUGCCAGUGAGGAGCAUGGUCUGCAACUGAUGAAAGCCUCCAUCCAAGAGCAGGCGGCAGUGGAUGGCACACGUGUGGGAGCUGAGAAACUUGAUCAGAACAUACAGGUGCCAGGAGCCCUGUUAGCCAGGCCUGAGGAGGAUUCUCAGUUCCCUGAGCGGGACCAGCUUGUCAUCCGUGGUGGACAGGAGUCGCAGCAUGACCAGCUUGUCGUCCGUGGUGGACAGGAGUCGCAGCGUGACCAGCUUGUCUUCCGUGGUGGACAGGAGUCGCAGCGUGACCAGCUUGUCUUCCGUGGUGGACAGGAGUCGCAGCGUGACCAGCUUGUCGUCCGUGGUGGACAGGAGUCGCAGCAUGACCAGCUUGUCGUCCGUGGUGGACAGGAGUCGCAGCAUGACCAGCUUGUCGUCCGUGGUGGACAGGAGUCGCAGCAUGACCAGCUUGUCGUCCGUGGUGGACAGGAGCUGCAGCGUGCUGCAGAAGAAGGGGGAGACCAGCAGAAUCUAGGCGAUGACUACAACCUGAAUGAGAAUGAAGCAGAGCCCGAGCGGGAGAAGCAGGCGGCCCUGGCAGGGGAUGACAGGAAUCUAAGUGUUCUUAAUGCUGAAGCUCAGAAGAGAGGCAUAAUAGAUUUACCUGAUGGGGGUGAAAAGCGGAGUCACAUUCUAAAUGAAGUAGGAGUUCAUGUUCCUCAGCAAGCCUGAAGAGAGGUCUAUGGAGAUUCACCAGUGACACAACUGUGAAACGUACCAAGUAAAACGGACAUCGACCAAUCAUUGCUGUGGGGUUUAAUCAGUACAUUUUAGCAAAGAAAAAUAAUAGCACCAUCUCAGACAGUUUGGGAGUACUUUCAAAGUGUCUACAAAAGGUGUCAAAGUUGGUCAAGCUUUCUUGAUUAACGGGUAUUUCUUGAGCCAGGUCAACACCAAAAAGAGAAAUGAUGUUGUCCUAUGUAGGUGGCAGUGUAGACAGUGUAGGCUGAGUGCAGUGCUCGCCCGUUUCUGUCCAUGGUACUGAGCAGCUCAACACUGCUGCACACUGACUCCCCCAUCAAUGGCCUGGAGAGCUCACUGUCAACACAGACGCCACAGUCGGUGUUCACAGGCCUAAGCACAAAGCUAUUCUGUGCAAAAAAAAAAAAAAAAAA